GUCACAUUAGACCAAGGCCCUGAUACUCAUGUGAGAAAGGGCAGGGCCUUCUCCUUGCCUGCAUUCUCACUGUGGAAAUCUCUUUCUUCCUCUGCAGACUUGUUCACAAACACCAUGAGAGCAGUGAGGCUUGGAUCCUCAGAACUCCUAAGUCUCUCCUCAAGAAAUACUGUGGGAAAAUAUGAUGAGAAUUGUCUUUUUAAGUCAGGAGUUCUUCCCAAGCUCCCCUAUAUCGCACCAAUUGACACAUUUAGGGAGACAUUUACAGUUUUCACAGUACACCCUGGCAGUAUUACAGCAAUAAUUUUGAAUUACGGUGUUGGUAGAUUUUAGAAAGCAGGAAGAUAAUAAUACGUAGUCAUACAUUUACCUGAUUCCUGAGACUUUAGGUAAACUGUGAAAUCUAGCACUGGGGGCAAUGUAUCAUCCUAAUAGAAUGUUUAGGUAGGGAAGUGUGAAUUUCUCCCAUUUUGGUGCUAGAAAUGAGUUUCCUCGUCUUGCUGAACACUUUUUUUUAUUAUUUCACAACUGCUGUACUGAACUGCUUUGUGCCAAAUACAAAAGCUACCAGGAGAUCUUUUCUGGGAAAUUUUCAAAAGCAUUUUAGAAGAACGCAGCACUUCUUGUUUGUGUAAGGGAUAUAAAAAAAGAAUAGCAUCUGCAAAAUAAGGAUUUGGGAUAAAUGUGUACUCAUUAUGAAAGUUUAAUAGAACAAAGAGGGUUUUAUUUCCUAGAGAGAGUGGUCUUUUUAUUUUUUCUAGUUUUCUCAUGAUUUUUCCUUUGGGAAGUAAGAAAAUCAUGUUUUCACACACACAAAAAAAAAUCAUUUUUAUGCUAUAUAUUAAUACUGCAAUUUAGGAUAUCCUCUGUUUCAUUAAAGUAUUUUACUUUCAUCAGAAGCAGAUAUUUUUUAAUUAAAAAAAAAAAAUUCAGCAUUCAAAUUUGGAUCUGUCUGUUUCUGUUUCAAUUCAAUUCUGGAAUGCUAUUUGAAAAGUUUCCAUACUUCUACUUACAUAGAGGCACCAACAUUUCUAACAGAAGAAUUCAGUAAAAUUCAUUCUGCAGAUAGAAAACUUAUCAACAUUUAUAUUAAGGGAUUAUGGACCAACUUUACAAUUUUUUCAUAAGAUUCUUUUCUAGAGAAACUCUAAGCUAAAUAAUUUGUGGAUCAUAGAACUGAAGUCAUCUGGCUAGAGAGUGGAUCAUUGAUAACAGAUAAUUGAUAUGGUUAAACACUGCAUUAUAGAUAAUGUAAAUGGCCAUAUUCAAAAAUCUGCAACUAAAUAAAACAAUGACAUUUUAAUGAUGGGUACUUAGCACACCAAUCAAAGCUAAUCAAAUUAAUUUUCACAAAUUACUUAUCUGAAAAAUUUAACAGUAAAUUAUCUGUAGAUAUGCUGGGAUAUUUUUAUAUCGUUUAAUGAAUGUAUGACUACAUUUUAGCCUGAGGUUUAUUCACAAACUGGUAAAUGAGCCCUCAUUUUUUGACUUGCUGUGUAAAUCAUGUGGGAAAACUUCAGUUCCAAAACUGGGUGACCUGUACUUCACUAACAAGAAGAAUCCCUUUUUUCCUGCCCUAAAAUGAUUUGCAAAAAUUCAGCCCUUGUUCAGUGAAUAUUUUACCAACAAAACAGAAAAAUAUUUUAUCCUGAGAGAGCAUUUUUGUACAAACAUUUCCAUAACAAGUUACUUGAUUUUCCGGAUACCUCUGCUUUCAAAUACACUCACUCCCCAGAGUUGCACAUCAACAUGAUGCCAAAGGGUGGCAAGUCUUAUUGACAGGAAUAUUUACAAACAUUUGGCUACAGUUACCCCCAGCUGAGCCACACAUACCUUGCAGCUGCAGUGCACAUAAUAAAGUUCAUCAGAACCCUUUUAGUAGCAAAUACAGCAGAAAGGAGAAGAUAGGAGAAAGGUGCAUAUUACACUGCACAUACAGAUUUUUCUUUAAAACAAACAAACAAAAAAUUUUCAAGAUGACUUUCAUAUUCUCUAGGAAGAAACUGCUCUCUAUGGACUGCAAGUUCAGCAUUUUGACGUUCCAAGGCAGUGCAAAGCUAGGCCUGCAGGGAAAUUCCUGGCGUAUGUUUCCAGUGGAGAAUAGUUUUUCUGACAAGAAGCAAGAAGUGAUGAGGGAUGUUCUUAGGCCGGGAAUAAGUUUCAGUUUCUUCACUACUAUCAGUUGCUUACAUUAAAAUAAAGUACUCUCAAGCUUU
ensembl:lncRNA